rnacentral:lncRNA from 1 species
GCCCGCAACUCUCUUAGGGCUAGGUUGGGAUGGCCAUUUUAAGUCCCAUAUAGAUGGAAGGCAAUCCCGCCCUAGCCCACCAAAUUUAAAAGCCCACGAAUCUUGGACUGGGUUAGGUUGGGUAGCCCAUUUUGACAGCUCUAUUCAAUGCCUGCUAUCUAACUGUUCAGCCAAGAUAUAAAUACAAUGAAAUUGAACAACAGAAAAAUGAAAUUCAAC